rnacentral:rRNA from 1 species
GGUCAGCGACUUAUAUUCUGUAGCAAGGUUAACCGAAUAGGGGAGCCGAAGGGAAACCGAGUCUUAACUGGGCGUUAAGUUGCAGGGUAUAGACCCGAAACCCGGUGAUCUAGCCAUGGGCAGGUUGAAGGUUGGGUAACACUAACUGGAGGACCGAACCGACUAAUGUUGAAAAAUUAGCGGAUGACUUGUGGCUGGGGGUGAAAGGCCAAUCAAACCGGGAGAUAGCUGGUUCUCCCCGAAAGCUAUUUAGGUAGCGCCUCGUGAAUUCAUCUCCGGGGGUAGAGCACUGUUUCGGCAAGGGGGUCAUCCCGACUUACCAACCCGAUGCAAACUGCGAAUACCGGAGAAUGUUAUCACGGGAGACACACGGCGGGUGCUAACGUCCGUCGUGAAGAGGGAAACAACCCAGACCGCCAGCUAAGGUCCCAAAGUCAUGGUUAAGUGGGAAACGAUGUGGGAAGGCCCAGACAGCCAGGAUGUUGGCUUAGAAGCAGCCAUCAUUUAAAGAAAGCGUAAUAGCUCACUGGUCGAGUCGGCCUGCGCGGAAGAUGUAACGGGGCUAAACCAUGCACCGAAGCUGCGGCAGCGACACUAUGUGUUGUUGGGUAGGGGAGCGUUCUGUAAGCCUGCGAAGGUGUACUGUGAGGUAUGCUGGAGGUAUCAGAAGUGCGAAUGCUGACAUAAGUAACGAUAAAGCGGGUGAAAAGCCCGCUCGCCGGAAGACCAAGGGUUCCUGUCCAACGUUAAUCGGGGCAGGGUGAGUCGACCCCUAAGGCGAGGCCGAAAGGCGUAGUCGAUGGGAAACAGGUUAAUAUUCCUGUACUUGGUGUUACUGCGAAGGGGGGACGGAGAAGGCUAUGUUGGCCGGGCGACGGUUGUCCCGGUUUAAGCGUGUAGGCUGGUUUUCCAGGCAAAUCCGGAAAAUCAAGGCUGAGGCGUGAUGACGAGGCACUACGGUGCUGAAGCAACAAAUGCCCUGCUUCCAGGAAAAGCCUCUAAGCAUCAGGUAACAUCAAAUCGUACCCCAAACCGACACAGGUGGUCAGGUAGAGAAUACCAAGGCGCUUGAGAGAACUCGGGUGAAGGAACUAGGCAAAAUGGUGCCGUAACUUCGGGAGAAGGCACGCUGAUAUGUAGGUGAAGCGACUUGCUCGUGGAGCUGAAAUCAGUCGAAGAUACCAGCUGGCUGCAACUGUUUAUUAAAAACACAGCACUGUGCAAACACGAAAGUGGACGUAUACGGUGUGACGCCUGCCCGGUGCCGGAAGGUUAAUUGAUGGGGUUAGCGGUAACGCGAAGCUCUUGAUCGAAGCCCCGGUAAACGGCGGCCGUAACUAUAACGGUCCUAAGGUAGCGAAAUUCCUUGUCGGGUAAGUUCCGACCUGCACGAAUGGCGUAAUGAUGGCCAGGCUGUCUCCACCCGAGACUCAGUGAAAUUGAACUCGCUGUGAAGAUGCAGUGUACCCGCGGCAAGACGGAAAGACCCCGUGAACCUUUACUAUAGCUUGACACUGAACAUUGAGCCUUGAUGUGUAGGAUAGGUGGGAGGCUUUGAAGUGUGG